UCGUUAAGAGCUUGAGAACUUCAUGGGCUAUCCUUGUUUCAUGGGCUGUCCUUGAUGCCUUUUGGGACGCUUCUGAUUGGUGAAAGAGUAAGAUUCUGGUAGCUUUUUUAAGUGCGAGGUAUUAGGGAAAUUUUCUUCCAUAUAUUAGAAGGCUUAGGAAGACGAGAAUUUGACAUUGCCUCGUGGUUUUCCUUACUUUUCUGUCGGAGCUAGUUCAGUAAGGCAUGGAUAAGGACCAGCAGCAAAGCAAAGUAAUCAAAAGUGCUGAUGAGGUGGUGUUUACCCAAUAGAUUCAAUCCACUUACAGACAAAAAUGGUGCCUGUACAUUUUACCAUUAUUUUUAGGGUAAGGCACAUGUAGAAAGCAAUAUUUCACAAAACAACAUUAUAUAUGCAAAGUUUAAAUUUUCCAGACCUUUUCUGCUUGAUUUUUUGAGUGGUUCCAGGAUUUUCUUGUGCAAAGAGUUCUAGGUGAAUGUACCAGUCACCAUGUUUUUUGUUAUGAUGGUUUACAUUGAUUGCUGUGCUCUACAUUCAUCAUUGAAGUACCAAUUAAUUCCUUUGCCAUCAGUAAUUGCUUUAAAUAUACUGUGUCAGAAAUCACAGCACUGUGCUCCAAAAUGUAAUGUUGUCCUGGGCACAAUUUCAUAUUUUUGAGCAAGGGAAAGGUAAAAAUCAAACAAGACCACACAGACAUCAUCUACGAGACAACAUUGCUAUGUAUAAUGUUUAUAUAGUUAGUUAUGUAAAAGCUGCUCUAUUCAUGAAAUCAGUGUCAAUACUCUUCCUUGUAGCAGAUAUAAUUUUUAGCC